rnacentral:rRNA from 1 species
AACGUAGGAGACAAACGUUAUCCGGAGUUACUGGGCGUAAAGGGCGUGUAGGUGGUUGCGUAAGUCUGGCGUGAAAUUUUUCGGCUUAACCGGGAAAGGUCGUCGGAUACUGCGUAGCUAGAGGACGGUAGAGGCGUGUGGAAUUCCGGGUGUAGUGGUGAAAUGCGUAGAGAUCCGGAGGAACACCAGUGGCGAAGGCGGCCAUCUGGGACAACACUGACGCUGAGGCACGAAAGCGUGGGGAGCAAACAGG